UAGAAGACAACGAAUACACAGCC
rnacentral:piRNA from 1 species